AUGAUGUUCAUGCACACAGCUCUAGUUUUUGGUUGGGCUGGCUCAAUGGCUUUAUACGAAUUAGCAGUUUUUGAUCCCUCUGAUCCUGUUUUGGAUCCAAUGUGGACACAAGGUAUGUUCGUAAUUCCUUUCAUGACUCGUUUAGGAAUAACGGAUUCGUGGGGUGGUUGGAGUAUUUCAGGAGGAACUGUAACAAAUCCGGGUAUUUGGAGUUAUGAAGGUGUAGCAGGGGUGGCUUGCUUUGGCUUUGGGGCAUUUCAUGUAACGGGUUUGUAUGGUCCUGGGAUAUGGGUAUCCGAUCCUUAUGGACUAACUGGAAAAGUACAAGUUGUAAAUCCAGCGUGGGGUGCAGAAGGUUUUGAUCCUUUUGUUCCGGGGGGAAUAGCUUCUCAUCAUAUUGUUGCGGCUUUCGUAGUUGCUGGAACUAUGUGGUAUGGGUCAGCAACGACCCCAAUCGAAUUAUUUGGGCCUACUCAUUAUCAGUGGGAUCAAGGAUACUUUCAGCAAGAAAUAUAUUGA
rnacentral:rRNA from 1 species